AUUAGUGGCGAACGGGUGAGUAAUACGUGAGUAACCUGCCCUUGACUCUGGGAUAAGCCUGGGAAACCGGGUCUAAUACUGGAUACUACCGCCCGCCGCAUGGUGGGUGGUGGAAAGGGUUUUACUGGUUUUGGAUGGGCUCACGGCCUAUCAGCUUGUUGGUGGGGUAAUGGCUCACCAAGGCGACGACGGGUAGCCGGCCUGAGAGGGUGACCGGCCACACUGGGACUGAGACACGGCCCAGACUCCUACGGGAGGCAGCAGUGGGGAAUAUUGCACAAUGGGCGGAAGCCUGAUGCAGCGACGCCGCGUGAGGGAUGACGGCCUUCGGGUUGUAAACCUCUUUCAGUAGGGAAGAAGCGAAAGUGACGGUACCUGCAGAAGAAGCGCCGGCUAACUACGUGCCAGCAGCCGCGGUAAUACGUAGGGCGCAAGCGUUGUCCGGAAUUAUUGGGCGUAAAGAGCUCGUAGGCGGUUUGUCGCGUCUGCUGUGAAAGCCCGGGGCUCA
rnacentral:rRNA from 1 species